GGUCUUUUAGUUUGCAGCAGCCAUGGCACGCGCUUCGGAAGGGUUUUGUUCGGCGAAAUGUCCUCCUGCGGGUCCUGGUGGUCCUGGAUCCGUUAAGGAAGUGGGACCCUGCGGUGCUGGCUGAGGGGCCACGUCCUGAUGAACAAUAAGGGCCGAAAUGCUGGGUCCUGAAGUUCCAGGUUGUGUCUGUCACUGAGGGAUGAAGAAGCCAGAGGUUCUGCUGACCAACAUCUGGAGCAGCAGGCCUGCAGGGAGCUGCGCUGACCAGCUGCAGGUCGAUCCAACUGGAUGAACUGGAGCCGGUCCAGCAGCUGCUCAGUCCCAGAUUGAACUGGACUUUAUCAUUUUCAGUUUAAUACUUGGUACUGGGGGCGGCUGUGGCUGAGUGGUUAGAGCAGUCGUCCUCAAAUGGGAGAGUUGGGGGU